rnacentral:misc_RNA from 1 species
AACGCAAAUGGCGACAGCGCGAGCUGUCAUGUUCGUUUCAGUGUGUUUGGUUACCUACAUCAAAGAUCCAAAUGCGAUUGAAGUAAUUCUCUCGCCGAAUCCGGGGACGCUUGGCGCCGACCAUUAAGCGAAGUAGUCACUACACAAGUGAUGUCGCAUUAACCGGUCGAACGCCUAUAAGAGCGACUCACCAAAUACAUAUCCUCAAUACAACACCUGAAAUGAGCAAGAUUACCCGCUGAACUUAA